rnacentral:rRNA from 1 species
GACGAACGCUGGCGGCGCGCUUAACACAUGCAAGUCGAGCGAGAACCAGAGCUUCGGUUCUGGGGACAGCGGCGAACGGGUGAGUAACACGUGGGUAAUCUGCCCUCGGCACCGGAAUAGCCCGGGGAAACCCGGAUUAAUGCCGGAUGGCCCACCCGCCUUUCGAGGCGGUUGGAAAAGGUAGCUUCGGCCUCCGGCCGAGGAUGAGCCCGCGGCGGAUUAGCUUGUUGGCGGGGUAACGGCCCACCCAGGAGACGAUCCGUAGCUGGUCUGAGAGGACGAUCCGCCACACUGGGACUGAGACACGUCCCAGGCUCCUACGGGAGGCAGCGGUGGGGAAUCUUGCGCAAUGGGCGAAGGCCUGACGCAGCGACGCCGCGUGCGGGAAGAAGGCCUUCGGGUUGUAAACCGCUUUCAGGAGGCACGAAGCCACUCGGGUGAACAGCCCAGAGGGUGACGGUACCUACAGAAGAAGCCCCGGCUAACUACGUGCCAGCCGCCGCGGUAACAC